AUUGAACGCUGGCGGCAGGCCUAACACAUGCAAGUCGAGCGGAUGAAGGGGGCUUGCUCCUGGAUUCAGCGGCGGACGGGUGAGUAAUGCCUAGGAAUCUGCCUGGUAGUGGGGGAUAACGUCCGGAAACGGGCGCUAAUACCGCAUACGUCCUGAGGGAGAAAGUGGGGGAUCUUCGGACCUCACGCUAUCAGAUGAGCCUAGGUCGGAUUAGCUAGUUGGUGGGGUAAAGGCCUACCAAGGCGACGAUCCGUAACUGGUCUGAGAGGAUGAUCAGUCACACUGGAACUGAGACACGGUCCAGACUCCUACGGGAGGCAGCAGUGGGGAAUAUUGGACAAUGGGCGAAAGCCUGAUCCAGCCAUGCCGCGUGUGUGAAGAAGGUCUUCGGAUUGUAAAGCACUUUAAGUUGGGAGGAAGGGCAGUAAGUUAAUACCUUGCUGUUUUGACGUUACCAACAGAAUAAGCACCGGCUAACUCCGUG
rnacentral:rRNA from 1 species